GUAUGCCUAAGGAUUUGUCAUUUGCGUUACAUCCACAAUUAGUAGGCAUAAUGAAAUAAAGUAUCUCUAGUGUUUCAAGGUAUUUUUUUAUUAUUAUUCAUAUAUUCACAUAUACUAUGAAACCAUUAAAGAUAGGGAAAACAAAAUAUUUCUAACAUGGGGAUGGCACAGUAACUUUCCUGAAAGAUGGUAAAAAUAACAAAACAAGAAGAAUUCCAAAGUUCCCUUGAAAUGAUUCUCUUUCAAGACAUGAUGUUCCAACAUCUAAUACCCAUUUCCUAAGGCUGACCUUGCCAGCCAUGCACAAAUUCACAAACGUACACUUAUUUGCAUGUUAACACCUAUAAAGACAAUGAUCUUCUAAACUUAAUGAAAAGACAUGAAAUGUCUCAAAUGAUAGGAAUAUGGAAGGAAAAAGGAGUACCCUUGAAUCUAAGAGCCACUUUUACUGGCAUUUAGACCAGAAGCAGCUCUUUCAAGUCUUCAGGAAGAUACCAGGCUCUACCCAAAGCAGAGGAAGCAAUCCUAUGCAUCCUCUCUUCCAAUAUUUCCUCUUAAAACCCACAUAAAUUAUUAAAUGUCAUAACUAAGUAUGUUGUACAAGGAAAACAUUCAAAGAAAUGAAAAUCUAAGAAGGUAAUUCACUAUGUGCACACUUUCCUAACAAAACAGCUAGGCAUUUCCUACCUGACUAAUCUAUUUUAAAUUCGGUUCCUCUGUUCCUAUGCAAUCUAAUAUUAUCUAUUAAAACUGCCAAAAUAUUUUUAAACAAGAUCUGAGAAUUUCUCUCUCAGCUUCUGAUCUUUGCACUCCUUAAGCUGGCAGACACGUCACUGGCAAACCAAUCGGUAGUGACAAGUUACUCCAAAUCACCCCUUUCGGUUGAAAUUUUAAAUUAACCACCCCCAAAUUUUCCAUGCCUCCCGAACCUCAGCGAACAAGGGGUUAAGUAAAUGUAUGCGAGUCCAGGAUUCCUCCUGAUCACCUGCUGCAAAACUUGUUCUGCACAAUCUAUAAAUGAAUAUUCCAACUCUACUAUGAUUGUGUUCCCCAGGAUCCUGCAGCAUUUACACUUACUAGAAGUGUUGCUUCUCAUCCCAAGCCUUGUGAGCCCUAAGACUUCAAACCAGGGACAUGGAGAAGCACGCACUUCCAGUGUUUCUCCGUGGUAAGGUCACACACCUCUGCAUCCGAGGCUUGUGUGUCCCACAUGUGUCUGCAAAUUCCUCACUCGGCCUUGGAGGCACAAUGAGUCUCCUCGCUUCCCUGCACUGCACCUCGGUGCCAAGUUUCUGUAAGCCACUUCCAAGCAAAACUCUCCUUCCGCUUCUUCAAAGAAAACUACGUUCGGAAGGAGAGGAUACCCGGGAAGAAAAUUAAGAAGGAUUGCCCUCCUCUGACUAAUUCCAGUCUUAGCAGACCUCAUCUUAGGAAACUUGUCUUCAGACUCCCUCAUGGACUGUGCCAGGUGCCUCUGCUCUGAAGUCUGGAAACAUUUCAUACCCCCCUCUCCUUAAUGGGGACUCUGGAUCAUACAGGAAGAAGACUUUGAAAAAGAAGAGACCAUAGAAAGAGAAGACAAGCAUUGCCCUCGGACCUUAGUACAUCAGUAUUAAAGCACAAAGCUGGAAGGUAGACACUCUGGAAUGGCCUGCUGCUCACAGCUACUUCAAUUAAAUUCAACCUGACAAUAUUUAUUGAGGAUCUAUCAUGUGCCAGAAGCAGUGCAAGGUGUCUAAGUUCCAGAUGUCAUCUGAGAUACUAAAUGUUUGCCUCUAAUUCUUGCUAUAGUGGUGAGAGGGGCACCAUCAACAGACCCUAGAAGAACAGUUUGUGUUUUUAUAAUCAAGGUAUGUAUCAAGAGCUGUGGAGGUACAAGGAGACUGAAAUUUCCAGAGAAAUGAGGGAGGGUAGGACUGAUGCGUGUACUUGGCCUUGGUAUAUGACUAGGAAAUGGCCACGUGGAACAAGAAAAUCAAAAGACUAGCAGUUACGAAAGCAGACUCAAAGGACAGGAUAAGUUGGGAACUGGCCAAGGAGUCGGUCGUGGCAGGGAAUAGUGAAUGGGGAUAAGGACAUAUCCUAAGAGCUCUUCCAUGCCACGCUUAAGAAUUGUGACCUUAUUCUGUGACUUGAUAAGCAAGACAGUGACAUAGUUAAAUGUAUAUUUUAGGAAAAAAAAAAAAAAGAACUGUGGCGACAACGUAGUGGUUUGAAUGAGAGACCGGUUAGGACUCUUACAAAAUAAAAAAAUUAAAGUCCAGGGGCAGAUCUGCACUAUAUGUCUAUGUCUAUGGGAGAAAGAAACUAUAGAACUUGGUGACCAGUUGAGAAAGAAAGCAAGACAAAAGGGGGUCAAGGAUCUCAGGUUUCUAGUUUAAGCAACUAGGUGAAUUGAUUGAGUUAACAAAAACUGCGAACAUCAAAGCACUUUUGCAUUCAAUCUUGAUUCUGUGGCAUGUAAAGUGCCCAGGUGGCAUUCUUGUGAAUAUGGAAAUAAUAUAAAGAUAUGGAAAUGUGAUCUAAGAUACCAGGUUAGAGAAGCAGUAGAAUAACAAGAUUAUUAAGUUUUAAAAUAUGAAUGCCAGG